rnacentral:rRNA from 1 species
GACGAACGCUGGCGGCGUGCCUAAUACAUGCAAGUCGAACGCUUCUUUCCUCCCGAGUGCUUGCACUCAAUUGGAAAGAGGAGUGGCGGACGGGUGAGUAACACGUGGGUAACCUACCCAUCAGAGGGGGAUAACACUUGGAAACAGGUGCUAAUACCGCAUAACAGUUUAUGCCGCAUGGCAUAAGAGUGAAAGGCGCUUUCGGGUGUCGCUGAUGGAUGGACCCGCGGUGCAUUAGCUAGUUGGUGAGGUAACGGCUCACCAAGGCCAUGAUGCAUAGCCGACCUGAGAGGGUGAUCGGCCACACUGGGACUGAGACACGGCCCAGACUCCUACGGGAGGCAGCAGUAGGGAAUCUUCGGCAAUGGACGAAAGUCUGACCGAGCAACGCCGCGUGAGUGAAGAAGGUUUUCGGAUCGUAAAACUCUGUUGUUAGAGAAGAACAAGGACGUUAGUAACUGAACGUCCCCUGACGGUAUCUAACCAGAAAGCCACGGCUAACUACGUG